rnacentral:rRNA from 1 species
UGCAAGUCGAAUGGGUUAGACCCAUGGCGAACGGGUGAGUAACACGUAGGAAGUUGCUCCGAAGUCGGGGAUAACCCGCCGAAAGGCGGGAUAACAUCCGAUAGUCUUAAAGUAGAAAUGGGGAAGUUCGGAAAUGCUGGAGAGGUACCCAUAAACGUUGCAAGCGUUUGUUGCGGAUCCGAAUCAGGGCCACGCUAGUGCCCGCCCCCUAAAUUUCAUUUUCUGGCAAGUUUUUAACUUGCCUCUCCAUUUCUGCUUUAAGUAAAAAUUUAUUGCUUCGGAAGACGCCUGCGUCCUAUCAGAUAGUUGGUGAGGUAACGGCUCACCAAGUCUAUGACGGGUAGCUGGUCUAAGAGGAUGAUCAGCCACAGUGGAACUGCGACACGGUCCACACUCCUACGGGAGGCAGCAGUAGGGAAUCGUCGGCAAUGCCCGAAAGGGUGACCGCGCGACGCCGCGUGAAGGAAGAAGGCCUUCGGGUUGUAAACUUCUUUUAUAGGGGAUGAUUAUGACAGUACCCUAAGAAUAAGGGCCUGCUAACUACGUGCCAGCAGCAGCGGUAAUACGUAGGGCCCGAGCAUUAUCCGGAAUUAUUGGGCGUAAAGAGCGUGUAGGUGUUCCUACAAGUCGGUCGUUAAAUCUUAGAGCUCAACUCUGAGGCCGCGAGCGAAACUGUAGGAAUUGAGGUUUACAGGGGCAAGCAGAAUUCCAGGAGUAGGGGUGAAAUCCGUUGAUACCUGGAGGAAUACCAAUGGCGAAGGCAGCUUGCUGGGUAAUACCUGACACUGAGACGCGAAAGCGUGGGGAGCAAACGGGAUUAGAUACCCCGGUAGUCCACGCCGUAAACUCUGUCAACUAGCGAUAGGAAGAGUCGACCCUUUCUGUCGCGAAGCUAACGCGUCAAGU